CGCUGGCGGCGUGCCUAAUACAUGCAAGUCGAACGCACAGCGAAAGGUGCUUGCACCUUUCAAGUGAGUGGCGAACGGGUGAGUAACACGUGGAUAACCUACCUCAAGGUUGGGGAUAACAUUUGGAAACAGAUGCUAAUUCCGAAUAAAACUUAGUAUCGCAUGAUACCAGGUUAAAAGGCGCUACGGCGUCACCUAGAGAUGGAUCCGCGGUGCAUUAGUUAGUUGGUGGGGUAAAGGCUUACCAAGACAAUGAUGCAUAGCCGAGUUGAGAGACUGAUCGGCCACAUUGGGACUGAGACACGGCCCAAACUCCUACGGGAGGCUGCUGUAGGGAAUCUUCCACAAUGGGCGAAAGCCUGAUGGAGCAACGCCGCGUGUGUGAUGAAGGCUUUCGGGUCGUAAAGCACUGUUGUAUGGGAAGAACACGCUUUAGAUUGGGAAAUGACUUUAGUUUGACGGUACCAUACCAGAACGGGACGGCUAAAUACGUGCCAGCAGCCGCGGUAAUACGUAUGUCCCGAGCGUUAUCCGGAUUUAUUGGGCGUAAAGCGAGCGCAGACGGUUAAUUAAGUCUGAUGUGAAAGCCCGGAGCUCAACUCCGGAAAGGCAUUGGAAACUGGUUAACUUGAGUGCAGUAGAGGUAAGUGGAACUCCAUGUGUAGCGGUGGAAUGCGUAGAUAUAUGGAAGAACACCAGCGGCGAAGGCGGCUUACUGGACUGUAACUGACGUUCAGGCUCGAAAGUGUGGGUAGCAAACAGGAUUAGAUACCCUGGUAGUCCACACCGUAAACGAUGAACACUAGGUGUUAGAAGGUUUCCGCCUCUUAGUGCCGAAGCUAACGCAUUAAGUGUUCCGCCUGGGGAGUACGACCGCAAGGUUGAAACUCAAAGGAAUUGACGGGGACCCGCACAAGCGGUGGAGCAUGUGAAGUUUAAUUCGAAGCAACUUGCGAAGUAACCUUACCAGGUCUUGACAUCAUUGAAGCUUUAGAGAUAGAAGUGUUCUCUUCGGAGACAAAGUGACAGGUGGGGGUAUGGUAGUCGUCAGCUCGUGUCGUGAGAUGAUGGGUUAAGUCCCGCAACGAGAGUAACCCUUAUUGUUAGUUGCCAGCAUUCAGAUGGGCACUCUAGCGAGACUGCCGGUGACAAACCGGAGGAAGGCGGGGACGACGUCAGAUCAUCAUGCCCCUUAUGACCUGGGCUACAUACGUGCUACAAUGGCGUAUACAACGAGUUGCCAACCUGUGAAGGUGAGCUAAUCUCUUAAAGUACGUCUCAGUUCGGACUGCAGUCUGCAACUCGACUGCACGAAGUCGGAAUCGCUAGUAAUCGCGGAUCAGCACGCCGCGGUGAAUACGUUCCCGGGUCUUGUACACACCGCCCGUCACACCAUGGGAGUUUGUAAUGCCCAAAGCCGGUGGCCUAACCGUAAGGAGGGAACCGUCUAAGGCAGGACAGAUGACUGGGGUAAGUCGUAACAAGGU
rnacentral:rRNA from 1 species